UCGAAAAAAGCCUUGUUCUUUGGAGGAUCUAUCUCGUAUCUGGUACUGCAUGGCUCCACUCUGUAAGAACUCCGAAUCAUUCUCUUGAAGCUCAUCCUCUUCAUUAUAAAUGAUCCGCUUACCCCGAAAUGACCUGGCCCAAUAGGGAAAUCCCAAUUCAUUAGGCUUUUCGAUACAAUCAAAUAGAAAGCCCCAAGGGCACCAUAUUCUAGGAGCCCAAACUAUGUGAUUGAAUAAAUCCUCCACUAUCUGUUGCGGGUUGAGGACUUCUUCUCCUUCCCCUUCUUCAAACUCCGAUUCGUAUUUUUCAUAGAGAAAUCUCUGAUCAAGGAUAGAACAAGAUCCAUUUUGCAUCAUAUCUAAGGGACUUCUUGGUUCGGGCCGAAGAAGCAAUGUCACUCGAUCAUUAUCAAACUGACUGCAAUCUUUUUAUGUCCGUGAGGAUACCACCAGAGCGCUUUCUACUUCUAAUAGGCCAUGAACUAGAUCAGAAUCAUUCUCAACAAGUCCAUAAUAAGUGAUCCCUUUUCUUUCAUCGGGUCCGGGUAGAGACCAAAGGUCUUGAGCAACCGAUCCGGCAGAACAACUCAAAAAAUAAAGAAGUAUCGUUAAUUUCUUCAUGCUCGUUCCAAGUUCGAAGUACCAUUUGUACAAAUAAGAAUCCCCUUCGUUACAAGAUUUCUUCUUCAUAUAGAUAAAUAUAGGAUCUAUGGGGCAAUUACCUAGAAAUACAUUUUGUGCAACAGCCCGUCCUAUCUGAAGGAUCCCAUGAUCCUGAACCGAUCUUACUUGGGAUCGCAAAUCCCAAGUUUGUAUAUAAAGAGCAGAUCUAAUUAUAUUAGUGUCUAUAAUUGAUUUCUUCUGUGUAAUACUAAUUGAUAGGGCCUCAUUGGUAAGUGCUACAAGAUCUCGUACAUUGGAACCCAUGGUUAUGGACCCGAAUCCAUUAGUAUGGAACAUUUUCUUUUUCAAGUGAAAUCCCCUAGUAUAUGAAAGAGUAAAAAAGUGCUUUCAUUGUUGUGGAAUAAGAAGCCUUCGUAUCUUAAUGCAUGUAUUUAAUUUAUUCGGAGCUAUUAGAGCGAGAUCCACUUUUUUGGGAAUAUGAGUCGAAGCAAUAACAAGAAUAUUUCUAGUGGAACAUCUUUCACAAUCCCUGGAGAGAUAGUUCACUAAUAGACCGAGGGAUAAGUAAUUCGACUCAUUCACAUCCAGAUCAUGAAUGUUUGGAAUCUAUAUUAUGCAAGGAGACAUUGCUUUUGCUAAUUCGAAUUGAAGGGUGAUAUAAAAUCGGUCUAUUUCCGGCAUCAUAUCCAUAGUUAGCGCAUUCAUCCUAGUUAGAAACUCUAGCUCCGUAUCAAAGUCACGGUCGAUAUCGUCACUCACAUCAAUAUCGUCACUAUCAUCAAUAUCGUCACUAUCAUCAAUAAGAAAACCCUUAGAAUAUGAGUCGAAGCAAUAACAAGAAUAUUUCUAGUGGAACAUCUUUCACAAUCCCUGGAGAGAUAGUUCACUAAUAGACCGAGGGAUAAGUAAUUCGACUCAUUCACAUCCAGAUCAUGAAUGUUUGGAAUCUAUAUUAUGCAAGGAGACAUUGCUUUUGCUAAUUCGAAUUGAAGGGUGAUAUAAAAUCGGUCUAUUUCCGGCAUCAUAUCCAUAGUUAGCGCAUUCAUCCUAGUUAGAAACUCUAGCUCCGUAUCAAAGUCACGGUCGAUAUCGUCACUCACAUCAAUAUCGUCACUAUCAUCAAUAUCGUCACUAUCAUCAAUAAGAAAACCCUUAGAAUUGUUAUCUAGGAACUUGUUCAGAAAUACUGUAAUGAAAGGAAGAUAGGAGUUUGUCGCUAGGUAUUUGACCAAAUAGGAUCGUCCAGUCCCUAUAGAACCUAUCACUAAAAUACCCCUACAGGGGGAUAGGGCUAAGCGGAGUGAAAAGGGUUUUCCAUGAGAUGGAAAUGAAAACUAUUCACCCCACACGAGGUUUGUGAAUAAGUGGUUGUCUGAUAAUAAGCAAGGAAUAUCCGUCUUUCUACUAAACAAGGUGUAUUGAACUCAUAAUUCAUUAGAUACUUUUUAUGAAAGUCAACUAAGUAUCGUAAAUAAAUUGCUCCCGGCUCUUUAAUCACUUGAUAACCAGAGUCAUUCUUUGAUAAAUGAUCACUAUGAGUCAGACUCAAUAGAAUUUGAUCAAUCCUUUUUUCUGUCAUUAAGGUAGAGAACUGAACCAAGAAUUCUCUUUCUUUAUCAUCAAUCGAAUCACUGUUCGUGACCAAGGAUUCUAUUUUAUCAUCAAUCCAAUCACCGUUCACGUUUUUUCUUUUUCUUAUCAAUGAAUAAAUCUAUUUACUUGUAUGACUUAGAUGUCUCGUAUUUCUUGAAAAAGUGAUUCAAUUGAUGGGAUUUGGUAUGAUACGUAAGAGAUCGAUGAGAUUGAUAUUAAAAAAUUUCUUCUUAGAAUGUAUUGAUUUAACCCCAUAAGCGGGACCACCACCCCAUAGCAUGUUGCCGCCAGAAGUAGAACCCCGCAUUUCUUCUAAAAAAUCUCCUAAUUGUUCUAGAGAAACUAGAAAGAGAUUCUUUUACCAGAAAGAAUUCAGUUCAGAUGUAGGAUACCUAUCCAGAAGUUUUCGCAACUCAAUCAUGUAUGAUGGAAUCAUCAAAGAUUUGACCUUUUCGAACUCUGUCUGUAACUCACUAUAGGCUCGGGAAACAAAGAGAAGAUGUGUACGAACGAGAUAUCCAGCAACAAGAAGAAGGAAAAGAAUUGAAUAGAGGAACUCCCGAACAUUUGGCGAUCUCAGAUGUGUCGAUAUCAAUGGUGGCUCAUUAUUUCGAUGAAUCAUUUCUUCGGACAGAAGAAGAUUAUGUAAACACUUACUCAAAAUCUCACUUAUCAGAUUCCAUUGUGGAAGACACAAUUUUUUCUGAAGAAUUCGCCAUGAUAUAUCUGAUCCAUGCAUAAUAUCAUGAAAAAUGGAUACAAAUUUUUUACUGCUACUUAGUAUCGGUAAUAGGUUCGAAAUGGUAUCUAAAAAUAGCAAAUUUAGAAAUUUGUACCCUGUUGACGUAAGGAACCAUGGCAUAUAUGUUUGGAAUAGAUUCCAUUUUGAGAGAGUCGAAAAAGCACUAUCUCGUUGAAAGGUUCUAUACAUCUGCCCUUUUUCAACACAUUUCUUUAGACAAAGACUCUACUUUUUCCUCUUUUCGGAUGGUAAAUAUUUCUUAGAACAUGGAGUGUGAAUCAAACCCAUGUUUGAAUUGAAAUUGAGAUACUGAUGCAAGUUCUUCCCUUCUGAAUCAGAUAGAUUCAUAUCCGAAAGAGGUUGACAAUAAGUUCUUUCAAAAUUGACUAUUUCUCCCUCUGUUAGAGGUGUUCCAGAAAUGUCUGCGAUCGAAUAAAUCGCUCUAUGAACGAAUGGAUUGGAACGAAUUGGAAAAUGGAAAGAUUUGUACAAGUUAUACCUUUCGUUACCACUUUGUGGAAAAUUAUUAGGUAUGAAUAUGUUAGAUACCUGUGACUCGAUUGGUGAAAUAGUAUCUCUCUCCAAAAAAGCAUUUUUUUUUACCGCCGCACAAAGAAAAUAUUUUGUUGCGAAUGAACAAGAUAUUGAGGAAUUGUCCAUACGUAAAAUCAUAAUUCUUGAUACGGGCCUUUUCCACAUAAAAAGGGAAUCUUUUGUUACAAUAGAACCAGAAGUGAUGUAGAUUAUUCAAGAAUCGAAGUCGAUUUGCUUUAUAAAAAGAAGAUAUCAAUGAACUUCUAUAAAAUGGUUUCACGGGAUUCAACCAAUUGUCUUGAUCCUGGGAUAUCAUUGAGAAAAAGGAAUCCGUGUUAUCAAAAGAUUUCUUGCGAUUAUCUCUAGUAUGGAAUGAGUCAAUCAUCCACUUUGGUAUCUUAUUGAACAAAAAUGGUGAUAUUGUUCCUCCAUUAAUCAAAAAUUUUGAUUUUUGGGAAGUAUCAUGAUCAUCCAAUAAGAAGGGUUUCCAUUUUUUCAAAUGAACGAUUUGAAGACCUAUUGAUUCUAACAGCUGAUUGCAGAGUGGAUCAUUCAGACCUUUCAAUUCAUAGAUAUGGAUUUCGGACCUAUGAAUGGGAAUAUUCCCGAAACUCAUAAAGAAAAAAGGAAGUGAGUUAGACAAAAAGAGAAGAAACUUGGACAAAAAAAAGAAGUAACUUGGGCAAAAAGAAACGAAGUGACUUAGACAAAUCUUUUUUGUCGAUAACCUCAGACCAAUCAAUCGAAUAUUGAUUAAUACAUAAUCGAUCGAACACUACUUGAAAAAGAAAACGGUUCUCCUGCUCAGAAAUGAAAUGUUCCAAAUGUUCUUGGAAAUUCUUGUUGCCAUUAGACCAUUUGUAUCUAUAUGCAUUAGGAUCCCAAUUCAUGGAUCUCUCGAUUCGAGAAAGAAAAAUAAGAGGAUCGAACAAUUUCUUCUAACUUUGUUUCAAAUUCAAUAGAUGUUGGUUGAUCGUAUAUUUCAUUAUGGUUCUAUGAUUCAGAGUAUCAUUUCCUAUUAGAUCACUUUGAAUUCCAUAUUCGAAGUUGCGAUCGGAUCUAUUCAUUAAAAAGAAUUGAGUCAAUACAUUUCUUAUAUACCCAUAGGUACUAUAUUGGAUUUGAAUCAGAUUUAGGAUCAAUCCAUAUUGAUUGACUACCUCCAUUAUGUUGUUGCUAGCAAAUACCACUAUUUUUUGUUUUGGAUCUUCAAAAUCAUUCCCGCAGGAGAUCCGAACCCAUUUUUUUCUGAUCCUUCGAUAAAAAGAUUCAUUCUCUUCAUAAAAAAUAGGAGGUAGAACCAAUAAAGAUUUCUUUUUCGAUUCAUCCCUAGAGUUGAAUACCUCAUUCAAGAAUUAUUUUUGAUCCAAUCCGUAGGAAUCAAUAAAAAAGGUAAAUCCCUUAUGAUACACCAGAUCUGGCUCGGUUAUUGAUAGAGUGAAUAGAUCCGCCAUUUCUUGAAAUCUCUCUUCUGAUUCAAAAUCGCGGUGUAACGUGUAUCCCCCCCCCAUUCCGAUCAUGGAAUAGAUGAAAUAAAUCAAAAAAUGGAUUUUUGUUCAAGAAAGAAAUCUUAUUGGAACUGUCCAUAUCCAGUUCAUCCUUCAGAACCAUAUCACAUCCCGGAUCUGGUGAAAUAGGAUGAAUUGAGAUGUAUUUUGUAAAUACGUGAUUAUCUUGAAUAUAUUAACUAUUUCUUUAUUUUCCGAUCGCCUGGAAGGGACAAAAGAAAUAUCUUGUUCUUUCUUCAACAAUUUCUGAUCUCUAGUGAACCUCUCAGUAGGAUUCGAACCCAGAUGAAGUUCUGACGAUCUGUCAAAGAAAAAAGAACGAAUGGAUCUUGUAGGAUUCCCAAGAAAUUCUUCGAUUUCUUCCGGAAGCAAAUGAUUAUUCAUCUUCUUCUCACCUUCCGUGAAUAGCCGGGAUAUUGAGGAAUAUCCAGAAAGGCAUUUAGGGAAUCGGUCUGAUUCUAUCUCUGUUCGUUCUGUUUGAAGAAAGGAAGGAUCCCAAAGAAUCGAUCUUUCUUUUAGUUAUUGAAUCUUUCUUUGAUUGAUCAAUGUGUGAUAUUCCGAAUCCUCAUUACUAAUGGAAUCGAAAUGAUCUCUGGAUUGAUCAGAAGAUCCCUUCAAUUGGCUAGAAUUCAUUCCUUGAACGAAACUAGAUCUUGUGGAAUCAUAUUGAAUAUUUGACGACAUAUUCCGUGCCUUACUAAAAAAUCGAUCCUUGUUUACCAACCACACAUUGUCUAACCAAAUCCAAUUCUCUCUCGAUAUGUUCCUAAAAAAAUCUGAUUCGUGCGAAUUAUUCCCCCAACUAAGGAAGAGAUCUUGGCGAAAUUGCCACAUAUGAAAUUGAGCACAAUUUUGCAAAGAAAUAGCCCACUUCUUUCUUGAGAAGAGAUGGGAAACAUGCUCAAUAUCAUUUGAUUGAAUAGUUGACCGAGCUCCUGUCUGAAGAAACCCUCCACUUCAAUUGAUAUUUUUUCACGAAAAGCAAACAUGAGAUAACAAAUCCAGUCUUUCACUAAGAUUUCGAAUAGCUGUCCAGAAUUCAAGUUAAUUAUGUUUCGCCCCUUCCUCGAAGAAAAACGAUCAAAUAAUUCCCAAUCAUGGUCCUUGCGGAUCGGAUCAUCCAUAUAAUAUACAAAAAGAAACUCCAAAUAUUUGAUAUCUUUUUCUUUGAAUGAGAUCUCAACUCCAGCGACGGUUUCAUUAGAUAUCUUGCAACUAGAAUCCCUCUUUUUUCCGAUCCAGUUCCUCCACCACCGCAAACCCCAGUUAGAUUCAGACAUGAUACACUUUUUAGUUAUUGGGAGAACCCAAGUACUCUCUUUCGGGUCCAGAAAAGAGCUCUCAGAGAUCUUUAUUCCUUUUGGAAGAUACAGGAGCGAAACAAUCAAACUAUUGAUAUUGGAAGACCAAAAGGAUUCUUCCAAUGUAUCAUUUCUAGGUCCAAUGGAAUUCAUAGGUAUAGGAAGAAGCCCUGUCAAAUAGAGAUUUUUUCUUUCGACCAUCUUUCGAUUGUUAAUACGAUAUAUAAGGACCACUACUACAAAUAGUACUACACCCUUGAUCGUGAAAUAUCGAUUGCUUGUUGAACCCUGUGAAUUGCGUGAAAGUAAGACACUCCAAAUUCGGGAGUCCAAGAGUUUUAUAAAACGUUCUUGAUGGAAAAAAAUGUGAAUGAAAGAUCCCACAAAAUUGAAUUGGGUCCAUAAAUCUAAAAAAUAGUGAGAAUUCUUGAUCUCUCUCAAUAUCUCUCUCAAUUUGAAAAUCCAGGAUUUGAAUUGAUGUCCUUUCAUUGAUUCCUCCUAGGUUGCAUUGAUUUAUCCUAAAGAUUUCAUUUCAAUUGGAAUUUGGUUAUUCACCAUGUACAAGGAUCCCCGCUUAGCAUCCAUGGCUGAAUGGUUAAAGCGCCCAACUCAUAAUUGGCGAAUUCGUAGGUUCAAUUCCGACUGGAUGCAGGCCAAUGGGACCCUCCAAUAAGUCUACUGGAAUUGGGUCUGUAUCAAUGGAAUCUCAUCAUCCAUACAUAACGAAUUGGUGUGGUAUAUUCAUAUCAUAACAUAUGAACAGUAAGAACUAGCAUUCUUAUUGAGACUAGAACUCAUAGGGAAGAAAAUAGAUUUAUGGAUGGAAUCAAAUAUGCAGUAUUUACAGACAAAAGUAUUCGAUUAUUGGGGAAAAAUCAAUAUACUUUUAAUGUCGAAUCAGGAUCAACUAGGACAAAAAUAAAGCAUUGGGUCGAACUCUUCUUUGGUGUCAAGGUAAUAGCUAUGAAUAGCCAUCGACUCCCGGGAAAGGGUAGAAGAAUAAGACCUAUUAUGGGACAUAUAAUGCAUUACAGACGUAUGAUCAUUACUCUUCAACCGGGUUAUUCUAUUCCACUUCUUAGAAAGAAAAUAACUUAAAUCAAAAUACUUAAUAGCAUGGCGAUACAUUUAUACAAAACUUCUACCCCGAGCACACGCAAUGGAGCCGUAGACAGUCAAGUGAAAUCCAAUACACGAAAUAAUUUGAUCUAUGGACAGCAUCGUUGUGGUAAAGGCCGUAACGCCAUAGGAAUCAUUACCGCAAGGCAUAGAGGGGGAGGUCAUAAGCGUCUAUACCGUAAAAUCGAUUUUCGACGAAAUGAAAAAGACAUAUAUGGGAGAAUCGUAACUAUAGAAUACGACCCUAAUUGAAAUGCAUACAUUUGUCUUAUACACUAUGGGGAUGGUGAGAAGAGAUAUAUUUUACAUCCCAGAGGGGCUAUAAUUGGAGAUACCAUUAUUUCUGGUACAGAAGUUCCUAUAAAAAUGGGAAAUGCCCUACCUUUGAGUGCGGUUUGAACUAUUGAUUUACAUAAUUGGAAGUAACCAAUUAGGUUUACGAUGAAACCUAGAAAUCGAUCACUAAUCCAAAUUGAGUACCUCUACAGGAUAGACCUCAACAGAAAACUGAAGAGUAACGGCAGCAAGUGAUUGAGUUCAGUAGUUCCUCAUAGAAAAUUAUUGACUCUAGAGAUAUAGUAAUAUGGAGAAGACAAAAUUGUUUCAAGCACCGACAGAACCGAAAGCACCCCUUGUUUCAAAGAGAGGAGGACGGGUUACUCACAUUUCAUUUGAUGGUCAGAGGCGAAUUGAAAGCUAAGCAGUGGUAAUUCUAAAGAUUCCCUAGGGAAAAAAUAGAAAUGCCUCCUACGUUACCCCUAAUAUGUGGAAGUAUCGACGUAAUUUCAUAGAGUCAUUCGGUCUGAAUGCUACAUGAAGAACAUAAGCUAGAUGAAGGAACGGGAAGACCUAGGAUGUAGAAGAGCAUAACAUGAGCGAUUCAGCAGAUUUUGAUUCCUAUAUAUCCACUCAUGUAGUACUUUUUUUCAUUUUACGAUAUAUAAGAUCCAUCUGUAUAGAUAUCAUCAUCUACACCCAGAAAGCCGUAUGCUUUGGAAGAAGCUUGUACAGUUUGGGAAGAGGUUUUGAUUGAUCAAAAAGAAUAAUCUACUUCAACCAAUAUGCCCUUAGGCACGGCCAUACAUAACAUAGAAAUCACAUUUGGAAAGGGUGGACAAUUAGCUAGAGCUGCAGGUGCUGUAGCGAAACUGAUUGCAAAAGAGGAGAAAUCGGCCACAUUAAAAUUAUCUUCUGGGGAGCUUCAUUUAAUAUCCAAAAACUGCUCAGCAACAGUCGGACAAGUAGGGAAUACUGGGGUGAACCAGAAAAGUUUGGGUAGAGCCGGAUCUAAAUAUUGGCUAGGUAAGCGUUCUGUAUUAAGAGGAGUAGUUAUGAACCCUGUAGACCAUCCCCAUGGGGGUGGUGAAGGGAGGGCCCCAAUUGGUAGAAAAAAACCCGCAACCUUGGGGUUAUCUUGCACUUGGAAGAAGAAGUAGAAAAAGGAAUAAAUAUAGUGAUAAUUUGAUUCUUCGUCUUUUCAAAAUAAAUAAAAAAAAUAGGAGAAAUUCACUGUGACACGUUCAUUAAAACAAAUCCUUUUGUAGCAAAUCAUUUAUUAAAAAAAAAUAAAUAAGCUUAACACAAAAGUAGAAAAAGAAAUAAUAGUAACGUGGUCUCGGGCAUCUACCAUUAUACCCACAAUGAUCGGCCAUACUAUUGCUAUACAUAAUGGAAAUGAGCAUUUACCUAUUUAUAUAACAGAUCGUAUGGUGAGCCACAAAUUGGGAGAAUUUGCACCUACUCGAAAUUUCCGGGGACAUGCAAAAAAUGAUAAUAAAUCUCGUCGUUAAUUCGUUAAUUUUAAUUCCUAAAUAAUUAAUAUUUAAAAUUAAUAAAAUGAAUAUUUCAUUUUAAAUUUAAAUAAAUAUUUAAAUAUUAAAUAAAAAAUGAAUAUUAAUAUUAUUAAAAAAAAUUUAAUAUUAUUAAAUAAAAAGAUUGAAAUUAAUAUUAAAUAAAAUUAAUAAAAUUAAUAUUAAAUAUAAAUAAAUAAAUAAAAAUUCAAUUUAAUUGAAAUUUUCUUUAUUUUAAAAGUUUCAUUUAAAUUGAAAAGGAAAAUAUAGAUAUUUGAAUAGUGAAUAGUAUUUUGUAAUUUAGAUUUAGAGUAAUAGUAAUUUAGAAUUAAAGAUAUGUAUAUUUAUUAGUUUCAUUUUACAAUUUAAAUUUUUUUUCUGACUUUUCUCGUUCAUUAAAAUUAUUACUUUAUUUAUGACAUUAAAAAAAAAAGAGGUUAAUAAACGGAAGUAUAUGCUUUAGGCCAACAUAUAUGUAUGUCCACUCACAAAGCACGAAGAAUAAUGUUAUCCCAUUUUGAAAUUAAUUUAUUCUGCAGCAGCAAACGCUCGCCACAAUAUGGGUUUCAACGAAGCCAAUUUAAUCAUUAGUAAAGCCGGAGUCAACGAAGGUGCUACUGUGAAAAAAUUAAAACCUCAGGCUCAAGGGCGGGGUUAUCUGAUAAAAAGAUCAACCUGUCAUAUAACUAUUGUAUUAAAAAAUAUGUCUUUAUAUGAAGAAUAUGAAGAAUAUAACAUAUGCUUAAAAAACCGGGGGUGGAUAAAAAAAACGAAAUCCACAGAUGCGACAUUUCAUGAUAUGUAUAGUAAGUAGUAGGGGAUUAUGGGACAAAAAAUAAAUCCACUUGGUUUCCGACUUGGUACAACCCAAAGUCAUUAUUCUCUUUGGUUUGCUGAACCAAAAAAUUACUUUGAGGGUCUACAAGAAGAUCAAAAAAUAAGAAACUGUAUCAAGAAUUAUGUAAAAAACAAUACAAAAAUAUCUUCUAGUGUUGAGGGAAUUGCAUGUAUAGAGAUUAAAAAAAGAAUUGAUGUGAUUCAAAUAAUAAUAUAUAUGGGAUUCACAAAAUUAUUAAUAGAAAGUAAACCUAAACGAAUCGAGAAAUUACAGAUAAAUGUAUAAAAAGAACUAAAUUGUGCGAACCGAAAACUCAAUAUUGCUAUUACAAGAAUUUCAAACCCUUAUGGGCACCCUAAUAUUCUUGCAGAAUUUAUAGCCGGACAAUUAAAGAAUAGAGUUUCAUUUCGCAAAGCAAUGAAAAAAGCUAUUGAAUUAACUGAACAGGCGGAUACAAAAAGAAUUCAAGUACAAAUUGCGGGGCGUCUUGAUGGAAAAGAAAUUGCACGCGUCGAGUGGAUUAGAGUUAGAACCAUUUAUGGGGUAUUAGGCAUAAAAAUUUGGACAUUUCUAGACAAAAAAUAAUAAACCCUUACUUGACUUGUCUUUACAUUCUAUCUAUUGAUAAAACAAAAAUGACAAACUCUUUGAUUCUUUUUUUUUAUUAUAAAACAAAAAUGACAAACUCUUUGAUUCUUUUUUUUUUUAUUAUUAAAAAAAAAAAGAAUCAAUUCGAAUUAUAUUUCUAUAGGGUUGAAUAAAAUAAAAAAUUCGAUUGAUAAUUUGAUAUAAUUGCUAUGCUUAGUGUGUGACUCGUUGGUUAUUUAGGUUUAGGAUUAAAAAAAAGGACUGACUCAUACUAUGAACUAAUAAGUAUAAAUAUACAACUAAUAACCAAAUACAACUAAUAACCAACUCAUCGCUUUGCAUUAUCUAGAUCCAAGGAAACAUUCAAGAUAUGAUAUAUUGCUCAUAUUUUUAUUUAUUAUUGGAGCAAUUAAAAUCCUUUUUGCACAAACAAAACAAAAAAUAAAAGAAAAACCAAUCUGAUUUGAUUAGGAGUUGUAAAUCAAAAUAAAAAUUAUGCGGAUAAAUAGAAGGAUGAAAGAAAGAGAGAAAAAAAUAUCAAUGAUCUAUGAUUCCGAUAUGUAAGGUCUAUGAAUCAUCAGAUAAAGGCUAAUGUACUAAAGCAUCAAUACCAAUUGACUAUAAUGAAACUAAUUCAUUCAUAAAACAAAAAAUCAAGAGCCUCGAGCCAAUAAAGACUGAGAAGAUUGACUGAAGAACAAAUCAAAUUAGAGGUUCCAUUGUAAAAUUAAGACCUAACCAUUAAUGGAGAAGCGAUGGGAAUGACGGAACCUGUAAAUACAUAAGAUUUUAUUGAAAACAAAUCUUAAUGAUUUAUUGGGAGGAUAGCGAAAGGAACCAAAAGACAAUCCAUUUAUUCUGAAGGAUCGUGGAUUAGCUCUACAAAACAAAUAAAAUAAAUAUUGAAAGAGUAAAUAUUCGCUCGUGAAAUUUUUUAGAUUUUAGCGAUCUGAUAUCAUAAUUAUAAUAAAAUAUAUAUAUAUAUAUAUACCAAUUUCUAUUUCUAUUCUAAUAAUCUAAUAAAAUAGAAAAUAAUCUAAUAAAUAGAUUAGAUUAAGUAAAUAAAUUAAGUGAAAUCUCAAAGAAUCCCAUGAUUUAGUAUAUUAUUCAUCAAACACAUAUAUAUACAUUUCAUUCGCGAGGAGCUGGAUGAGAAGAAACUCUCAUGUCCGGUUCUAUAGUAGAGAUGGAAUUGAGAAACAACCAUCAACUAUAACCUAAAAAGAACCCGAUUCCGUAAACAACAUAGAGGAAGAAUGAAAGGAAUAGCUUUUCGAGGUAAUCGUAUUUGUUUCAGCAAAUAUGCUCUUCAGGCACUUGAACCCGCUUGGAUUACAUCUAGACAAAUAGAAGCGGGACGACGGGCAAUGACACAAAAUGCACGCCGCAGUGGAAAAAUAUGGGUACGCAUAUUUCCCGACAAACCAGUUACUUUAAGACCUACGGAAACACGUAUGGGUUCGGGGAAAGGAUCUCCUGAAUAUUGGGUGGCUGUCGUUAAACCAGGUAGAAUACUUUAUGAAAUGAGUGGAGUAGCUGAAAAUAUAGCAAGAAGGGCUAUUUCAAUAGCAGCAUCAAAAAUGCCUAUACGAACUCAAUUCAUUAUUUCGGGAUAGGAAUAUAGAACUAAAGGAAAAAUACUUUUGUUUUGGGGUGCUAAAAUAAAUCGAAAGUUUUUUUUUGUUUUGGACAAACAAUAUAUCUUUUUUUCCUUUGCAUUAAAAUAACAUACAAAAAAAAUGAUAUGAUCCAAUCUCAGACCCAUUUGAAUGUAGCAGAUAACAGCGGAGCCCGAGAAUUAAUGUGUAUUCGAAUCAUAGGGACUAGUAAUCGCCGAUAUGCUCAUAUUGGUGACAUUAUUGUUGCUGUGAUCAAGGAAGCGGCACCAAAUUCACCUCUAGAAAGAUCAGAAGUAAUCAAAGCUGUAAUUGUACGUACUUGUAAAUAACUCAAACGUGAUAACGGUAUGAUAAUACGAUAUGAUGACAAUGCUGCAGUUGUCAUUGAUCAAGAAGAGAAUCCAAAGGGAACUCGAAUUUUUGGUGCAAUCGCCCGAGAAUUGAGACAGUUAAAUUUUACUAAAAUAGUUUCAUUAGCGCCUGAAGUAUUAUAAAAUAAAAAAUUCUAAAUAAAAUAGAAGAUAAUACCAUUUAAAAUUAAGAUGAGACCAUGAUACAGUUCUAGUAUAUAGUUAUAGUAUUUUUUUAUAUAGUUUUUAUUGUAUAGUUAUAGUAUUUGAAUAAAAAUGAAAUAGAAUUUCAUUAGUAAAUUGUGUUUCACGCAUAUACCUUUAAUAAAAUAAGUAAUUCAAAAAAAAAGAAAAAAAAAGUAUGUUGAUUAUAUCAAAACUAGAGAGAAAUAAAAAAUUUAGUUUAUCAUGGGCAGGGAUCCUAUUGCUGAGAUAAUAACCUCUAUACGAAAUGCUGAUAUGAAUAGAAAAAGAACCGUUCGAAUAGCAUUCACUAACAUCACCGAAAACAUUAUUAAAAUACUUUUACGAGAAGGUUUUAUUGAAAAUGUCAAGAAACACCAGGAAGGCAACAAAAUUUUUUUGGUUUUAACCCUACGACAUAGAAGGAAGAGGAAGGGACCCUAUAGAACUAGUCUAAAUUUAAAACGGAUUAGUCGACCUGGUCUACAAAUCUAUUCUAAUUAUCAAAAAAUUCCUAGAAUUUUGGGCGGGAUGGGUAUUGCAAUUCUUUCUACUUCUCGGGGUAUAAUGACCGACCGAGAAGCUCAACUAGAAAGAAUCGGUGGAGAAAUCUUGUGUUAUAUAUGGUAAUCUUUCGGAUAUCCGAAUUGUAUCCCAACUUUUUAUUUGUGAAAAGAAAAAAAAGAUAAAGAAGAGGUUUCUAAUAUCAUUCCUAUUACAUUAAUUGAUACUUGAAGGGGAUUUUAGAUGGAAUGAAAGAACAAAAAAAGGAUUCAAUUUGGGAAGGUUAAAUUUCUGAAUCACUUUUUCAAUAGUAUGUUCCAAGUUCCUUUAGAUAAUGAAGAUCUGGUUUUAGGUUAUGCUUCAGGAAGGAUCCAACAUAGUUAUUUUAUACCUAUACUGCUUAGAAAUAGUGUUAAGUAUUUAGAAUUCGACCAGAGCACUUCUAAUUUAUAGACUCCAUAACAAACAAAGAUUUGAAUGAUUAGUCAGUUUUUUUUUUCAACUUAAAAAGUCCUUUCACUUUCAUCACUUUCAAGGCAUACAAUUCGUGAUUUCAAAGUUUAAAGAAACUUAUUUUCUUCAAAAAAAGUAUGUAUAUUCAAAAUUUAAAGGACGGCAAAUAUGAAAAUAAGAGCUUCUGGUCGUUAAAUUUGUGAAAAAUGUCGACUGAUACAUAGACGGGGGUGAAUUAUAGUAAUUUGCUUUAACCCAAGACAUAAACAAAGACAAGGAUAAUCUUGCUAAGCAGAAACGCUCUAAAGGAUCUGAUGUACAAAUAAAAAGUUGUAUAAAUAAAGAAAAGGAUCUAUUUUGACAUGAAAUGGAUAUAUCCAUAGACCCCUGACUUAUAUUUAUGAGAUAAUAAAAUAUGGCAAAACCUUUACGAAGAAUUGGUUCACGCAGGAAUGGACGUAUUGGUUCACGUAAGAGUGCGCAUAAAAUACCAAAAGGAGUUAUUCAUGUUCAAGCAAGUUUCAAUAAUACUAUUGUGACCGUUAUAGAUGUAUGGGGUCGAGUGAUUUCUUAGUCCUCCGCCGGCACUUGUUGAUUCAGGGGCACAAGAAGAGGAACGCCAUUUGCAGCUCAAACCACAGCAGGAAAUGCUAUUCGAACAGUAGUGGAUCAAGGUAUGCAACAAGCAGAAGUCAUGAUAAAAGGUCCUGGUCUCAGGCAAGAUGCAGCAUUAAGAGUUAUUCGCAGAAGUGGUAUAUUAUUAAGCUUUGUCCGGGAUGUAACCCCUAUGCCACAUAAUGGCUGCAGGCCCCCUAAAAAAAGGCGUGUGUAAAUAUAAAUAUUGAAGAGAUUUCAAGAGACAAGAGAAAUAAAUAAUUCAAUGAUUUUAAUAUUAUUAUGAUUCGAGAGAAAGUAACAAUAUCUACUCGGACACUGCAGUGGAAAUGUGUUGAAUCAAGAACUGACAAUAAGCGUCUUUUUUAUGGACGCUUUAUUCUAUCACCACUUAUGAAAGGCCAAGCCGACAUAAUAGGCAUUGCGACGCGAAGAGCUUAGCUUGGAGAAAUCGAAGGAACAUGUAUCACACGUGCAAAAUCUGAGAAAAUACCACAUGAAUUUUCGACUAUAGCAGGUAUUCAAGAAUCAAUACAUGAAAUUUUAAUGAAUUUGAAAGAAAUAGUAUUGAGAAGCAAUUUGUAUGGAACUUGUGACGCGUCUAUUUGUGUCAAGGGUCCUGGAUAUAUAACUGCUCAA
rnacentral:lncRNA from 1 species